CUCUGUGUCCACAGGGGGGCGCUGUGGCUCCACACAAAACCUUACUCACUCCCUCCCUCCCAUUUGGCAAAACGUCGUUUACAAACCCAGCGUACCUGUGUGUCCACCUGAUCAGCUUCAGGCCUACUCACUUCCUCACUCAGAUACUAAUUGUGUGGGGAGGUAAACACAGCAGUCAAGUGGAGAGGACGGCGAGUCAAGCGUGAAUAUCAAUCUCCCCACAUCAGUGUCAUCAGAUGACUUUGACUGAGUUGAGGCAGGGCUCAUUAGGGUGGUGGAGCAGGGUGCCGCAGGCUGCAAUAACAUCCAGGUGGAGGCCUCUGAAGUUACGGAAACCUGCAGAGCUCACCAGGUAACAGAAAUCCUGCCGCAUUCGUCUGGGAUCGAGAGCCUGAGAAAAGGCAAAUGGGAGAGGAAAGAACAGAAAAGAAAAGAAAAGAGACAGUGGACAGCGCAGGUUAAUUAUUGUCACAUUUCACUUGAGAACGAGGAAAAAGGAAUAGAACAUAAGUUGGAAAUGUGGUAAAAAGAAAUGACUGAGGCAUGAAGCACAGAUGUAGAGACAGAAAACAAUAAAAUUGACUUCAUGAUGAAA